AUGGACUGCCGCCAUGGGCGCGCCCUCUUUGCUCACAUCCGGAACACCUCUGUCCUCAUGGUCUUGGACCCUGUGACGGGCCACCAGCGCCGCGUGCCCUCGACACCCAAGUACCUGCUCAGCUUCAGUGCGGCGGUGCUCUGCGCCGCACAAGGCUGCGACCACCACGGUUGCCAAGGAGGGCAUUUCCGUCUGGCCGUCGUGACCACCGAUCAGCGGCAAGGCGUCACAUCGGGCUGGCUGUACUCGUCGGAGACUCGCGUGUGGAGCGAGCUCACCUCCGUUCACCACCCCAAUGCCAGGUAUACCAAUAACUUUGGUGCGCCCAGCGUCCUUUUGGGCGAUGCACUCUACUUCAACAUUGGUGGCAUCGUGGAGUGCCAACUUGGCACACUCCGCUUGUCAAUGUUCGAGAAGCCGAUCAAUCGCGGUGGGCGUCUCAUGACGGUGGAAGAGGGCAGGCUGGGAUUCGCUGCCGUGGUUGAUGUCACAAAUCUAACCCUAUGGUCGUGGGAGACCGGACCCGUGGGAGCCAUUGGAUGGGCAAAACUCAGGGUAAUUGAUCUCAAGACGCUGCUCCCAACAUGUGAGUUUGGGCUUAGGAGGUGGGCAAAUGCAUUGGUGGUCAGUGGCGUCGCGGAGGGCACCCAAGUCAUUUUUGUGAGAGCACGUGUUGGUUCUUAUAUGGUUCAUCUCAAGUCAGGGCGAGUCAAGCCGGUGUGUGCUUCUUCUGACAUAAAAAUAUUUCCCUACGUGAGCUUCUACAUCCCAGCAAUGGAAGCAGCUUGUUUUGGCAAGGGGCAGUGA
rnacentral:rRNA from 1 species